CCUACGGGAGGCAGCAGUAGGGAAUCUUCGUCAAUGGAGGAAACUCUGACGCAGCAACGCCGCGUGGGGGAAGAAGGUUUUCGGAUUGUAAAAUCCUUUUGUUAGAGAAGAUCAUGAAGGUAUCUAACUAAUCGUCACCGGCUAACUCCGUACCAGCAGCCGCGGUAAUACGGAGGGUGCACGCGUUACUCGGUCUCUCUGGGCGUAAAGUGCGCGGAGGCGGGUGAGCAAGUCAGAUGGGAAGUCCUAUGGCUUAACCAGAGAAGUGCAUUGGAAGCGGGUAUUCUAGAGUUUGGAAGAGGGAGGUGGAAUUCCAGGUGUAGCGGGAAAAUGCGUAGAGAUAAAGAGGAACACUCAGGGCGAAGGCGACUCGCUAGAAUAUAACUGACGCUGAUGCUCGAAAGCGUGGGGAGCAAACAGGAUUAGAUACCCGAGUAGUC
rnacentral:rRNA from 1 species